rnacentral:rRNA from 1 species
CAAAUAGAGGUGAAUUUUUGUUAAAAAUUUUAUUGGAUUCUCCUUCUUCUAUAAGUUUAAAUCUAGCUAAAGGUAUAAGUCUUGUUUAAUGUAUAUAAAAUUAUAAUAUUAAUUAUAAAUUAUUUAGUACAAAAAUUUUUAUAUCUAGCCAAACUAGUUAAGUAAAUAAAUGACCCAUUAGGUGCCAGCAUUCGCGGUUACACCUAUAUUUAGUAUACUCUUCAUGGUUUAGGGGCUACACUAAAAACUUAAAAUCUUUAGAGGUAAAAUUCUGCUUGCUUUUUCAAUAUCGUUAAACCUUAAAAAUUAACCCAUAAACAGGGAUUAGAUACCCCUCUAUAUAAAAUAAAUUCACACCUAGGGUAGUAAAUGCUAUACAACCCCAAACCCAAAGAUUUUGGCGGCAGUCAACCUUUCCAGAGAGACCUGUUUAUUUAUUCGACAAUCCACACUAUAUCUUACUUUUACUAAAACUUGCAUACCGUCAUCUAAAUUUUAUCUUAAGAUAAAUAUUCUAAAGAUAACAAAAAUGUUAGAUCAACGCGCAGUAAAUAUAAAAGCUUAAAAUGGGUCUCAAUUUAAACCAAAUAGAAAAAUCUUUAAACAACCUUUAGAAAGAGGAUUUGGAUGUAAUAAUUUUUUAAAAAAAAAAUAUGAUUAAGCCAUUGACUGUGUACAUAUCGCCCGUCGCCCUCGACCCGAGGUAAGUCGUAACAUAGUAGAAGUACUAGAAAGUGUUUCUUUAUUUAU